UUGACCUCGGAUCAGGUAGGGAUACCCGCUGAACUUACAACAGGGAUUGCCUCAGUAACGGCGAGUGAAGCGGCAAGAGCUCAAAUUUGAAAGCUGGCCCCCUCGGGGUCCGCGUUGUAAUUUGCAGAGGAUGCUUCGGGUGCAGCCCCCGUCUAAGUGCCCUGGAACGGGCCGUCAUAGAGGGUGAGAAUCCCGUCUGGGACGGGGUGUCUGCGUCCGUGUGAAGCUCCUUCGACGAGUCGAGUUGUUUGGGAAUGCAGCUCUAAAUGGGUGGUAAAUUUCAUCUAAAGCUAAAUACUGGCCGGAGACCGAUAGCGCACAAGUAGAGUGAUCGAAAGAUGAAAAGCACUUUGAAAAGAGAGUUAAACAGCACGUGAAAUUGUUGAAAGGGAAGCGUUUGCGACCAGACUCGCCCGCGGGGUUCAGCCGGCAUUCGUGCCGGUGUACUUCCCCGUGGGCGGGCCAGCGUCGGUUUGGGCGGCCGGUCAAAGGCCCUCGGAAUGUAUCACCCUUCGGGGUGUCUUAUAGCCGAGGGUGCAAUGCGGCCUGCCCGGACCGAGGAACGCGCUUCGGCUCGGACGCUGGCGUAAUGGUCGUAAAUGA
rnacentral:rRNA from 1 species